CUAAAGUUUUCAAAUUUCAAUGUUUCACAAUCACACGCUUUGGCAUGUUUUAUUGUGAAAAAUCAUUCUCAUUGACCAAUAAAUAAGACAUUUUUUCAUACACCUAAAGCCAAUAAAUUUGGUAUCCAAAGUCCAAACGCAGCCAUCAACAAAUACUAGCUUAGUACUUCUACCCCAAUAUUAAAUCCUUUUAUUUUCUUUUAAUAAUAAUUUUAAUUUUCAAACGUUGACAUUGAAAUUUCAAUAGUCUCUUUUGCGUACACCUCAAUACUUUUAUUUAAAUUUCCUACACUUCAUCUCAAACUCAAUAGCCUUUACAUUUGUUUUUUUCUCAUUAUUUCCCAUGCAAUUUGCAAACCACAUAUGAAACCACUUUCUUAGUUUCUUCACAUUGAAAUAUUUAUCCAAAAAAAAGGAAAAAGAAAAGAAAAACUCUCCAAAACAUCUUCCUUAAACCUUUUCCUACAAAUAAGAAUCAAACAUCCUUAUUUCUUCCAUAUGACUAAUUCUCAACAUUCUAAAUCCAUGCAUCUUUCAUGCAAUAUAUUUUCUCUAAUUCUUCUCCUUGUUUACUUUCUUUUUGUUGGUUCUUGCUCUUCAACAAGGAUAGGAAUUACAAGUAUGAAGAUGGAGAUGAAUGAAAACACAGAACAUAUUAGGCGAAAGCAUAAUCCGGAUUUGGUUUUCAAUUUCUUACCCAAAGGAAUGAGAAUACCACCUUCAGGUCCUUCAAUGAGGCAUAACUCAGAGGUGGAUUCAACACCUCAUAAUUGAGUUUAAUAAUAAUCUCCUCUUUUUGCAUGAUUAAUUUAGUUCUUCAAUUUUUGGCUUUUUAAUUUAUGGUAAGGAUCAAAUGUUUGCAAUUUGAUACCGAGCCUAAAAGGAUUUAGAUCCUUUAUUAAAUUAAAUCUCCUUAAAGGAUCUGAAUUUUCUUUAGCUCUAUUAUUCUAAUUUCUUAAUUAUAUUGUACAUAAAGCAUAUGUUUAUAAUAUAUUAGUGCAUUUUUCUUUGUAUGAGAGGCGUUUGUUAUUAUUUUAUUAUUGUUGUAGUUGUUGUUUUUGACAAAAUUAAUUAUUAUUAAUAUUAUUGUUAUUGUAUAUUGUCCAAUUGUUUUUUUGAUGUUUAAUUGAUGAUGAUCAAUUAAUCCAAAUGGUUUAUAUAUCUUGAGUCUCAAUUUUCACUAUUAAUUUUACUCUUGAACUAAUAUAUAUGUGUGUGUGUCAUUUUUUUCAAUUGAAAUUGUGAGUAUAUACUCCCAGUUAUUUCAUUUGCCUCUUAUGUCUAAUGUGAUGUAAUAUUUGACUUCAUGGUGAGUGUACAUAAAUAAAAAAAGUUAUUUUUUGGAACUUUUCUUAGAGAUGUGUAUCAUAAAAAGGAAAUAAUGGAGAUCUCAAUCACAAAGUCUUCCAAGUUGCAAUUUAGAAAACUUUGACGUGAGGACUGAGGAGUGUGCCUUGGCCCACUCACUUGUGAUAUUUGAAACUUCCACUUAAUAAAAGCUUUUUGUUUUCUUCAAAACUAUGUAUCUUGCAUUAUAUGACAUAUUUAUUUUGUAUAUAGUUAAUAAUAUUUGGCACAUACCUGGUGUCACACUUGUAAUUAGUCCAAUGAGACAAACUAUGGCUAUGGCUGAAAUCUUAAAAUUGGGUCCAUAUUAAUUAUAAAACAAUUAUUUUGGGGCUAGCUGCAUCUUGCAUUUUCAUUCACUAUUGCCAACUGUGCUUGGAAUUGUAUAUCAAUUUCAAUGAAUGUAAAUCCCUCAAAGAAGGGGAAUUAUUAGAAUAAGUUAUUGGAAUUGUAUAUCAACUUCGAUGCAUGAGAAUCCCUCAAAGCAAGGGAAUUAUUAGAAUAUAGUUCAUACUUUCAAUAGUUGCACAAAAUUUCUUUUAAAACCAAUUAAAUUUCAAUUUUGUCUGGUAAUGAGAUAUUUGUCACCUUGACUACUAUAGGCUGAGGGAAACUUAGGACCCCUAGCUGCAUUUGUUAAUGAAAAAUAAAUUGAAUUAAAUAGUGCCUCAAAUUUUGCUUUAUGAAACUUCUCAAUUAAAAGCUUACCAUGGAAAUACUAGAAAGAUGGACGGAAGUUCAUAAAUUUGUGGUGUUUCGGCUCGCUUUGGUGAGUGUCAAAAUUGAUUUUAGCCUAUAUUUGGAUUGAUGAUUUUAUGCUUGGACUCGCGUUCCAAAAUCAUGGUAUGUCAGAAGUUAUAAUUUCUUUCUUUGUGUGAACGUGCGUUUCCUUCCUUCUCAACGUGCAAACAAACAUCCGUUUAGUGAAAAAAAUUAUUAAUAUUUUAUUUGUAAUAUAUAAAGAUAUUUGUUUACUUUUAAUCAAAUUUGCACUUAGAGUAAAAUAAUCUUAAUUUUAACCAAAUCAGUUGCGCGAAAUUAAGUCAAACACCAUUUUUAACAAAUAUGAAGAGAGUAAUUAAAAAAAAUAUUGGAUAACUUCUUAUUUAGAUUUGCAUUUAUUAUUAGAUAUGAUUGUAUUUUUUAUUCUCUAAUUUUAUUUGUUUACGAAAUUGAUCAUUUUGUUUUUUGAAUCUCUUUGAUUUUGAUUUUUCUUUUCUUUAAAUUUUUAAAUUAAAAAAUAUUAAUGUUAAAUAGAGAAUUUUAAAAUAAUAGAACUAAUUAUAUAAAUCGAUGAAAAUAAAAAAAAUUAAAUUACAAUUAAAUUUGUGCUUUAUUUAUUUACUAAGGUAGAUGAAAUAAAAAAUAAAAAGGGCAGAAAUCCGUUUUUCGACAUCUAUGCCUUGACUUCAUUAGGUGUAGCACAAUAGUAUAGCAUAUCUUCAGUUCAAAGAUAUGUUUACAGUUUUCUUUGCUGACUUUAUGUGCGCCUAUUGCAAAACAAUGUAUCAUUCGUCAAUGCUAUACAAUAUAACAAAGGUUGCGCAUUUUGGACUCGUGAUAACCUAUUUGUAACGGUCUCUUUGAAGGAUUUGGUUAUUUAUUGAUUAUUUUAUCUAUUAAUUAUUUUUUAUUAAUAUAUUUUUAUUUAUUAUAUCUUAAUUUAUUUAAUUACUUCAUUAACUAUUAUUAAUAUUAAUAUUUUAUUAAAUAAAACUUAUUUUAUUAUUAAAAUCGACUUAAUUAAUUAUUUUCUUAAGAGUUGUACACAAACAUAGGAACACACUUACAAUGACAUGGUGAGAGAAAUAUUUUAUUUAUGUCAUUAAUAAAUAUAUCUAGCUAGAACUCCGAGAUCUGAUCCGUAAUAGAGAUGUGAACCAUAAUAGUGUAUUAUGACGUCAUUUGAUUCUUUUGUCCGAAUUCAGACUUCACGUAGUAAGAUAAGUCUUGGUUUGUUGAUGUUAGACCUUUUUAAGGUGCUCUUUGUGAAUAGUGCUAGCAGGUAAGUAACUAACCGAGUUUAUGACUAUGCAAAAAAAAGCUGCAUAGAAGUUAAGCACUUUUAUGCAAUCAAGUUUUUUUUUAUGCAUUCGUCACUUAUAAAAGCUGAAAAUAGUAGGCUCAAUUAAAAUAAUAUUUAAUCCUACAAUUUAUAUCUCGUGUUGAGAAUUUCUAUCAUUUGCUGAUAGAUUGAACAAAGAGUACAACUGAUUGUCGAGAAUUCCUCUAUGUAACUAACCUUGAAAAAGCUCUAACAGCAUUAUUUUGUGGAGGGCUUGAGGCUCAAAAUUGUAUAGAUAUGAUAUUUCUAUUCAUUGUAGUGAUAGAUGCUACAAAACAAAAUAGUAAAUAUCAAUAAUAUAUCAGAUGCCCCGUAGUGCGUGCAAAAAUGUGUUGUUUAUUCCUAAAUUCAGCACUAAUCCCAUUUUUGUUCCUAGGCUUGCAUCUUUUUCAAACUGUUUUGUAACUUGUUAUUCCAAAAAUUACUUUAUACAGGUCAACUUUUUUCAAAAGAUGUUUAGUGUAGUUGAGUUAUAUAAUUGAUUGUAUUUACUCACCUUUCCAUCUAUCUCUAUUCCCCUUAGUAAUGAUGUUAACAUUUCCCCUGUUUCUACUCGUACUCAUGUGAAUAAUCCUUUUGUUUUAGACAAUUAGCACCUCCCUUUUAGAUUGAUUUAGCAUAUAACAUCACCAUACCUUAGGUAGCAAUAGUUGGCCAGCAUAGUUUUCAUAUAGAUACGCACAGGAAUAGGUAGAAUACUCCCAUUGUUUCCUGUCAGUAAAUGAUAGUUGUGCCAAAGACACUUUGUUCAAGGUUGAGCAGCACAUAAUAAUGAUACAAGGACUUUAAUUUGUCCAGAAAAGGUAAUUCUAAAACUGUAGGAUGUUUCCAUCGAGAAUACAAAACCACCACUUUGUAGCAGCAAAGAAAAAAAUCAGCACUACCAAAUCAUCUUAGCUCUAGCAUCAGCGUCACAAAGUUCCGCUCCAUCUUUUAAGAAGAGUUGAAAAGACCUCAAUCAUGUGUUAUAGCCAGACAAUAAGAAUUCACAUACCAAAACCAGAAAAAGAAAGGCCGAUUCGUACUUUGCUCCCAAGUUUACCAUCAGGCAUCAGCACUGAGCAGCACCUAAUAGCUAUACAUAAGAGACAUGUUGUACAAGAAAAGAUGCCAAACACAGCAGAAUAUUUGCAAUAAAAUCUCAGAACCAAACUUGUGGUACUAAAGCAAAUUCACGAACUCUGUUACGAGCGAAGAGAAGGAACCAGAACUUUUCCUAAGUCCAACUUGCAUGCACGUAAAAACAAGUUAUUUGACAAUCAAAAUGUUACGCUAUCAGAGACAUAUCAUCAAAAUAUAAGGUAAAUUUGUGCCCCAACUCAAGAUGAGUUUACAAGCCUAUUGUGGAAACUUCUUAUUCAUGAGUGAAAAAAGAUCUCUCAAACUUCUUGUUGAAAUUCAGAAACACCAUUUCACACUUUGAAGUUUAUAAUAGAUUAAAAAAAAUGAAGUUAAAAAACCUAACACCCACCCACAUAUAUUGCAUCCAGAACAAUGUUAGUUUGCUCAUUGUAGCUUUCUAAGACCGAAAUGGAAAACAUGUAGUAAGACAAGAUGUUAAUAUAGAGAAAAAAUGCAUUGUGCACAUGUAAUAGGACAACAUGAAUAUAGAAUUUAUUGGUCUCAUUUAUAAAUCCGCUUAUUGUUACCAACUACCAAGUUUGAUUUGAUGAUUCUAAAUUUAACAUAACAUGAAACCCCAAGCAGACAAUAGUUUAAUCACAGAAUAUUAAAUUUAAACCACAUAAAAUUUGAUAAAAGUAAUCCAAAUAAAUGAAUUUUUUUGACAGUAGUUAUCAACAAAAUGAUAGGCGCAAGGUUUAUGAUUUCAUAGUUUCAAGCUUAUAGAAAGUCUAUAAAAAAAAAAAGGAAUACCGGAAUUGAAAGUCAGAAUUGGUAUUUUAUAUUUCGGCCUUCCAAAUUGGCAUAGUAAUGAUUGGAAACGUCAAAGUCAAAUCAUGUCUUUCAUAAAAUGAAAUAGUAAAGAUUUAGGAAGUGGUGGCUGGUUUAGUGUUAGUUGUUGUCAUAGAUGAUAAGAAAAUUCACACCCUGGGUUCUCUUUUAACUGAAGCUGGUUAUGGCAAUAAGGCAGGAUGCUAUUGUCUGCAAAAUCAGCAGGCAUUCCUUCUAGAAGAAUUCCACUCAUCUCCAUGGGGGGGAAUGUGCAAUAUGAAACCAGAAUAAAUAUCAAGUUAGUCUUACCAGAAUAAAUAGUGGAAAGUGUAAGCUUUCCAGGUUUGAUGCCUACAAGUUAGUCUUACCCCCGAUAUAAAACUCCAUUAGGUUUUUCACAUCUCACAAAGAUUGGUAAAUUUAAUUACUUGAGGUAGUAGUAAUGAGAUGGCAAACCUUGUAGGCUUUUCCACAAUCAACAUUCCACAUGACGAAAUGCUUUUGCUUUUUCAAAAAAAAAAAAAUGCUGUCAUUAAACUUCUCUUCCAACUUUUUGGUCUAAUGAAACAUUUAUUUUCCCCACUUUUGCAUUGUCAACUCUCACUACUGAAACUCAUAGCAACAAAUCCGGCAAAGAGUAUGAUAAAAUGAUUAUUAUUGAUAUAAGGAAAAUACCAUAUUCUAAAGGUCUGAAUGAUAAGGAAUAGAAUAAAGGGUGGAAUCAAAAUCAUGAAAAAAUAACAAUAAGUCAUUUUUAACAUUUAGCAUUGAAUUCGAAAGUCGAAACCCAUCUCUCAUCACCCCACCUGUAGGCAUUUUCCAAUUUCUUCACCAUAUUUAGAAACCUUAAAUUUCAUUCCAUAAGUAUCAAAAAUUUUAUAUGAUUUAAUAGAUUUGAAAUAUAUUUAUAAAAAAAAUAUGAAAUUUGAUCCGAUUCAAACACUUUUUACAAA
rnacentral:lncRNA from 1 species